CAACUAUACAAUCCACACAGCACUAGAAAAUACAAACAAUAGACAAACACAAAAACUACAAUGAAUAAAAAUUGUUAUUAAUUCUGGCAAUAGAUACAUACAACGGAGAACCACUCAUACAACAAUUGGAAACGCCGACUACAAAAACAAAUUACAAGACAUCACAGAAAGAAAAGCUACCAAAAAUAAUACAACAGAAACAACAAAAAGUAAACAAGGCAAACGAUGGUUAUUUCAGAGCCAACAGUGAAUGCCUUAGAAUUGUUUAGUACCCAGGCGACACGCAACAAAACUCCGGAGCUACACAGUACUCCACAGUAGGACCGGUGUGCGGGUGGACUUUGUCGUUGUGCUUGUUUCUGCCCGAUAUUUGAUUUUACCACACGUGGGGAACUCCCACACCCUGAUAAGUCUCAGGCCGGGCAAUAAAAAUGUAAUUAAACAAACACACCAAUAAUCAACUUCCUUAUAACAUAAAAGACUAAUAAUAAUAACACUUAUCCUUAAAACAAACAUAAAAUUAUUUAAACGAUUUACUAAUAAAAAUAAUGACAAAAUCACAACAACACAAAUAUUUAUUAUAAAUAUGGGUUAGGUUUGAUAGAUGUGAAAUACUGAGUGGUAUGUGCGUGACAAACAAAAUAUUUCGUUAUAAAAAUCUCUUUUGGUGUUCCUUCAAUCGUAAUUACUACUCUACGGCGAAUGUGUACUUGUAACCAAAACUUAAAAACUGUUAGCAGUACAUCGGACCUCUGCAUUGAUAACUAGAGCGGCUACUACACCAACAACCUAAGUCUUGAAUACAAGCACUGGAUCAUCUAACUCGUCCCUGAUACAACAGACCUCUAACCUUAUGUUUUGAGCGGAUAUCAUAAGACUCGUUAAGGAUUCCAAUACAAUUGAGUUAAAAUACCAUAAUACUACAGACCCUUGACUAAUUUUCAAAGCGGCUAUUAUGUACUUAGUCUCAGACAUGACAUACUCUGAAACUACAAUAAUGAAAAUAAAACUUUGGAUCCCAAAACCUAGCUAAAUGAGAAGUUUGCAAACCAAAUCCCACGAUAUAGGUUAAAUGAAUCCUAUGAGCUUCUGAACCAAAUUUUGGUGUAGGGCUAUUGUUUACAUUUAGAAUUCUAUUGUACUGUAUAUAUAUAGGUGACAGAUAUACCAAAUUAAUUACAUUCUGUUGGGCGCCAUAUUGUUACGUGUCCCUACAAGGCGCUAUAGUUGUGUCGCCAGCUAGCUCAAGCGAGUACAGAGGGCAGGUUCCAACCCACAACCAUAGCCCAGAGACAAGCACAAAAAAAUAAUAUAUGAUAUCACAAAAAGAACAAACUUACAAAAAGAAAACAACAGGAAACAUUAGAGACGAAGGAACAGCUGUUAAUGUCCCUCACUUGCCCACCCAACCUAGGACACCAAUCUCCAAACGAUUGCCUUUUGGUAUCCCCACUGUCAGCACACACUCAUUUCACAAUACUUACAUCUCACCUAACCCUUGGAAACAAAAUUAGCACUCAAACAUUAUUUGAUUUACACUUAAGACAUAAUUUACAUAUUUAUUAAAAACAAAAUU